rnacentral:lncRNA from 1 species
UUUCUGCCAAGAACACCAGCUGGCAGUGAAUGUCCAGGCGCUGAUCGAUGAGGAGCCCCAGGAGUCUUUGUCCUCAGCGAUAAAGCAGGAAGCCAUGAUGAGCUUUGCCAACAUGAGCACUGUGGAGACAGCACUGGAAGGCAAAACGGAGAGCAUCCUGAACUCCUGCUUCAACAGCGUCUUCUUUUUGCCUCCGGAACUGUCCAUAGAAGAAAAGGAGAAAAAGCUCUACCUUGAGACCAUGACUGCCAUGAACACCAUGCUACAAGCCAUGAUGCAGAACUGCCCCGACAGGAGAAUGAGAGAGGAGCUGCACAGCAUCUUUCAGGCUCUGCUCCACUUCUUCAGCUCCCAGGAGAUGCGUGUCCGUACGAGAGCCCUGUAUGGGGUUUUACUGAUGAUCAAGAAUUUUAUAGCAAAAGUAAGGAGCCAGGCACCCUCCAGCCAGGCUGUCUUCCAUUCUCCGUAUCCCAGAGCAGCUCAGAGGUGCCUGCAGCUGGGGUGCAGCUGGGAGCUCUCAGUGGGGCCCUGCCCCAA